GAAACGCGGCUUUCCCCUCCCUCUUUCCUCGGCUACGUAAAAGCGGUCGGGUGCCCGGCGGCUACUCCGGAGAAACAGGUGCCUCUUCCUUUAAAAUGUUGGUUCAGUGACUCAGUGCUGCACACAUGUUUCUUUAUACAGAAGGUGUUCUUACCUGUUGUGAGUCAGCUAUUAGCAAGAAAAGGAACAGCUUCAAGCACCCACAGUGAAACUCUGAACAAAAGUCUUUCAAAAUGGAUGCCCUCCAGAUGUUCUGGAUUCAUGUUCUCAUAAUCUACAGUCAGCAUGGACAAUGGUACAUCAAGCUGAAAAAAAAUAACCUAGAAUAAACCCUGCC